GUUUGCUAGCUCAGUGUUUAGAGCAACAGGCCGCAAAUCUGUGGGCGUGGGUUUGAUUUCUACCCGGAGCUACA